rnacentral:rRNA from 1 species
GACAUGGCUCAGGAUGAACGCUAGCGACAGGCUUAACACAUGCAAGUCGAGGGGCAUCAUGAGGUAGCAAUACCUUGAUGGCGACCGGCGCACGGGUGAGUAACGCGUAUGCAACCUGCCCGAUACCGGGGUAUAGCCCAUGGAAACGUGGAUUAACACCCCAUAGUACUUUUAUCCUGCCUGGGAUGGGAGUUAAAUGUUCAAGGUAUCGGAUGGGCAUGCGUCCUAUUAGUUAGUUGGCGGGG